rnacentral:tRNA from 1 species
GGCCUCGUAGCUCAGCUGGUAGAGCAUGCGGCGUAGGCGGUGUCCAUGCGUGGGUUCGAAUCCCACCGAGGCUA